rnacentral:lncRNA from 1 species
CAGCGCCUCCCGCCAGGGGAUUCCGCCAACCACCGCUCCCUGCAAUCGGGGUUACCAGUGAUGAUUCUUCCCCCAGCAUCACCCUACGGUGUCUUGGCAGCCUGCCUCCUUCACAGACUGCCUCGAGAGUCCCUCAGAGCUAUUUCCUUAAAGACCAAAUGCGAGCAUAUCUUCACUGACGGGGUUUCAGAGCCUCACUUUGCAAGUUUUGAGGCAGAGGCUCAAACUAAUUUUGCUGAGAAGGACAGGAGAGCUGAGAGAAAAUCAAACAGAACGGCGGCUCUCCUCCCAUUCAUGGCAUGUAAUGCUCUGGGCCCAGCUACAUCUGCCAUGGCCUCCAGGGACCUGCUGGAGGGGUCUCCCAGCCCCACCUGGUAUAAGCCAAGCCUGCUCCAGACUCAGGAUCUGCCCAGAGGGCUGGGAUCUCACAGCCUGAGGUAAGCAUGAGUCAGUCUGAAUGUAAUCUACCCUCCCUACACCCCUUCCCAGCCCCAGCCUCUCUGAGGGGUCUCAUAGCCACCCAGCCUGCCUGUGACCUUUGCUGGCUAUAGCUUUUCUUCCCAUUAACUUUUUUUGUUUUGUUUUUGAGAUGGAGUUUCACUCUGUCGCCCAGGCUGGAGUGCAAUGGCGCGAUGUUGGCUCACUGUAAUCUCUGCUUUCCAAGUGCAAGCAGUUCUUCCCCCUCAGCCUUCCAAGUAGCUGGGACCACAGGCACCCACCACCAUGCCCG